CCUCGCAUGGGCGCAGCCUGAUGCAGCGACGCCGCGUGAGGGAUGACGGCCUUCGGGUUGUAAACCUCUUUCAGUAGGGAAGAAGCGAAAGUGACGGUACCUGCAGAAGAAGCGCCGGCUAACUACGUGCCAGCAGCCGCGGUAAUACGUAGGGCGCAAGCGUUAUCCGGAAUUAUUGGGCGUAAAGAGCUCGUAGGCGGUUUGUCGCGUCUGCCGUGAAAGUCCGGGGCUCAACUCCGGAUCUGCGGUGGGUACGGGCAGACUAGAGUGAUGUAGGGGAGACUGGAAUUCCUGGUGUAGCGGUGAAAUGCGCAGAUAUCAGGAGGAACACCGAUGGCGAAGGCAGGUCUCUGGGCAUUAACUGACGCUGAGGAGCGAAAGCAUGGGGAGCGAACAGGAUUAGAUACCCUGGUAGUCCAUGCCGUAAACGUUGGGCACUAGGUGUGGGGGACAUUCCACGUUUUCCGCGCCGUAGCUAACGCAUUAAGUGCCCCGCCUGGGGAGUACGGCCGCAAGGCUAAAACUCAAAUGAAUUGACGGA
rnacentral:rRNA from 1 species